AGCAAGCACAGUGGCAAUGCACGACAAGGGUGUGUUGUGGCAAAAACACACACCUAAUUGUCCUAUAAAUAGGGGUCAAUUGGUUCCUAAUGCUAUAAGGGAGAGUACAUACCAAAUGGCAAAAGGAAAAUCAAAAGAAGGAAGCAUAUUCCAACCAAAAGAAGGAAGCAAAUUCAUAGCUAAAAAUGGAAAGUUUCUGCCAAUUUGCGCAAGCAGGACAUUUAUGGUGAUAAUUCAACUUUCCAG
rnacentral:lncRNA from 1 species